CCUCUCACAAACCAGCAAUGAGUGUUAACAUGCCAUGACUUGAAGAGAGUAAUUAACUCAACUCUCUAUAUCCAAAAUUAGAAAAAAAGAUCAAAAAACAAUUUUUGUUUUGAAACUACUCUAUGAUGAUGAAUAAUAAGGUAUUAUGUCCCAUGACAACAGGCUCAUAAAAGAUUCUGGAGUAGCUCCAAGAGGGGCAUUCAAGAGCUUAAUCUGGUUAGAACAGAAGGAAGGAAAUUCCCUGUAAGGCUGUUAAGUAUGGAUCUAAGCUCCUCCCAUCCUCACACUGACUGGACAAAAUUGAAAAGAGACAAUAUUUGCUUAGCAAGCAUUUCCCUCCUUAGCCUUCUCAUAAAUUGCUUUUCUAGGUCUCCUAUGCUUCUUCCUGAACCUAUCUCUAGAUUAUUUCACAUGAAGUUGUUAUUGACAUAGACCUCUUUGUCAGAAAGAAACGAAUCUCCAACGCAGCUGUGUUUAAUUGAGACACACACCAAAAACACUCAAGGAGCUUUUAACCAAAAUCCGUAUGUCCCAGCUCUACCUCUAUAGACUCUGAUUCAGUAAAUUUGCAUUUAUGUAGUGGUAGAAUGGAAAAGAAAGAAGUAAAGUGUGUCUUAGAAUGCUAAGAAACUUGUGUUCAGCUGGUCCUGAGCAUUUAUCCAAGUAUAUCUCUCCACUUCCUAGGCCCAUCACAUCAGCUAUAAAGACUUCUAAGCCAUUUGCCUACAGGGAACAGGAGACAGUCAGUAGUCCUGACUACUCCCCUUCGCACCACUCACCUGCUUCUCAACCUAAUACCCCAGCAGCAUGUGGAAGAAAGUGGCAGCUCUCUCAUCUGUCACGAAGAACCCAACAAGUGCUGCUGUCAGUUUCAGGCCGAGUUGCACUGAACCCACAAUCCGAAUACAGGAAAGAAGGAUCAAUAGGACCUCAAGAGUGA
rnacentral:lncRNA from 1 species